rnacentral:rRNA from 1 species
GAUGAACGCUGGCGGCGUGCCUAAUACAUGCAAGUCGAGCGAACAGACGAGGAGCUUGCUCCUCUGACGUUAGCGGCGGACGGGUGAGUAACACGUGGAUAACCUACCUAUAAGACUGGGAUAACUUCGGGAAACCGGAGCUAAUACCGGAUAAUAUAUUGAACCGCAUGGUUCAAUAGUGAAAGGCGGUUUUGCUGUCACUUAUAGAUGUAUCCGCGCCGCAUUAGCUAGUUGGUAAGGUAACGGCUUACCAAGGCAACGAUGCGUAGCCGACCUGAGAGGGUGAUCGGCCACACUGGAACUGAGACACGGUCCAGACUCCUACGGGAGGCAGCAGUAGGGAAUCUUCCGCAAUGGGCGAAAGCCUGACGGAGCAACGCCGCGUGAGUGAUGAAGGUCUUCGGAUCGUAAAACUCUGUUAUUAGGGAAGAACAAAUGUGUAAGUAACUAUGCACGUCUUGACGGUACCUAAUCAGAAAGCCACGGCUAACUACGUG